rnacentral:rRNA from 1 species
UAGUCCACGCCCUAAACGAUGGAUACUAGGUGUCCGGGAUAUUAACCUCCUGGGUACUACAGUUAACGCGUUAAGUAUCCCGCCUGGGGAGUACGGUCGCAAGGCUAAAACUCAAAGGAAUUGACGGGGGCCCGCACAAGCGGUGGAGUAUGUGGUUUAAUUCGAAGCAACGCGCAGAACCUUACCUACCCUUAACAUUUCACGACGUAUACAGAGAUGUAUAUUUCUCUUCGGAGACGUGAGGAUAGGUGCUGCAUGGCUGUCGUCAGCUCGUGUCGUAAGAUGUCUGGUUAAGUCCAAUAACGAGCGCAACCCUUAUCCUUAGUUACCAGCAUUAAGUUGGGGACUCUAGGGAGACUGCCGGUGCUAAACCGGAGGAAGGCGGGGAUGACGUCAAGUCAUCAUGGCCCUUAUGGUCUGGGCUACACACGUCCUACAAUGGUCGGUACAGAGGGCUGCGAAACCGCGAGGUGGAGCUAAUCCCUUAAAGCCGGCCCCAGUUCGGAUAGCAGGCUGCAAUUCGCCUG